GGGUUGUGAGGUUAAGCGACUAAGCGUACACGGUGGAUGCCCUGGCAGUCAGAGGCGAUGAAGGACGUGCUAAUCUGCGAAAAGCGUCGGUAAGGUGAUAUGAACCGUUAUAACCGGCGAUGUCCGAAUGGGGAAACCCAGUGUGAUUCGUCACACUAUCGUUAACUGAAUACAUAGGUUAACGAGGCGAACCGGGGGAACUGAAACAUCUAAGUACCCCGAGGAAAAGAAAUCAACCGAGAUUCCCCCAGUAGCGGCGAGCGAACGGGGAGCAGCCCAGAGUCUGAAUCAGCUUGUGUGUUAGUGGAACGGUCUGGAAAGUCCGACGGUACAGGGUGAUAGUCCCGUACACCAAAAUGCACAGGUUGUGAACUCGAAGAGUAGGGCGGGACACGUGGUAUCCUGUCUGAAUAUGGGGGGACCAUCCUCCAAGGCUAAAUACUCCUGACUGACCGAUAGUGAACCAGUACCGUGAGGGAAAGGCGAAAAGAACCCCGGCGAGGGGAGUGAAAAAGAACCUGAAACCGUGUACGUACAAGCAGUGGGAGCACCUUCGGGUGUGACUGCGUACCUUUUGUAUAAUGGGUCAGCGACUUAUAUUCUGUAGCAAGGUUAACCGUAUAGGGGAGCCGCAGGGAAACCGAGUCUUAACUGGGCGUUAAGUUGCAGGGUAUAGACCCGAAACCCGGUGAUCUAGCCAUGGGCAGGUUGAAGGUUGGGUAACACUAACUGGAGGACCGAACCGACUAAUGUUGAAAAAUUAGCGGAUGACUUGUGGCUGGGGGUGAAAGGCCAAUCAAACCGGGAGAUAGCUGGUUCUCCCCGAAAGCUAUUUAGGUAGCGCCUCGUGAACUCAUCUUCGGGGGUAGAGCACUGUUUCGGCUAGGGGGUCAUCCCGACUUACCAACCCGAUGCAAACUACGAAUACCGAAGAAUGUUAUCACGGGAGACACACGGCGGGUGCUAACGUCCGUCGUGAAGAGGGAAACAACCCAGACCGCCAGCUAAGGUCCCAAAGUCAUGGUUAAGUGGGAAACGAUGUGGGAAGGCACAGACAGCCAGGAUGUUGGCUUAGAAGCAGCCAUCAUUUAAAGAAAGCGUAAUAGCUCACUGGUCGAGUCGGCCUGCGCGGAAGAUGUAACGGGGCUAAACCAUGCACCGAAGCUGCGGCAGCGACACUAUGUGUUGUUGGGUAGGGGAGCGUUCUGUAAGCCUGCGAAGGUGUGCUGUGAGGCAUGCUGGAGGUAUCAGAAGUGCGAAUGCUGACAUAAGUAACGAUAAAGCGGGUGAAAAGCCCGCUCGCCGGAAGACCAAGGGUUCCUGUCCAACGUUAAUCGGGGCAGGGUGAGUCGACCCCUAAGGCGAGGCCGAAAGGCGUAGUCGAUGGGAAACAGGUUAAUAUUCCUGUACUUGGUGUUACUGCGAAGGGGGGACGGAGAAGGCUAUGUUAGCCGGGCGACGGUUGUCCCGGUUUAAGCAUGUAGGCUGAUUGUCCAGGCAAAUCCGGAUAAUCAAGGCUGAGGUGUGAUGACGAGGCACUACGGUGCUGAAGUAACAAAUGCCCUGCUUCCAGGAAAAGCCUCUAAGCAUCAGGUAACAUCAAAUCGUACCCCAAACCGACACAGGUGGUCAGGUAGAGAAUACCAAGGCGCUUGAGAGAACUCGGGUGAAGGAACUAGGCAAAAUGGUGCCGUAACUUCGGGAGAAGGCACGCUGGUGUGUAGGUGAAGUCCCUGCGGAUGGAGCUGAGACCAGUCGAAGAUACCAGCUGGCUGCAACUGUUUAUUAAAAACACAGCACUGUGCAAACACGAAAGUGGACGUAUACGGUGUGACGCCUGCCCGGUGCCGGAAGGUUAAUUGAUGGGGUUAUCCGUAAGGAGAAGCUCUUGAUCGAAGCCCCGGUAAACGGCGGCCGUAACUAUAACGGUCCUAAGGUAGCGAAAUUCCUUGUCGGGUAAGUUCCGACCUGCACGAAUGGCGUAAUGAUGGCCAGGCUGUCUCCACCCGAGACUCAGUGAAAUUGAACUCGCUGUGAAGAUGCAGUGUACCCGCGGCAAGACGGAAAGACCCCGUGAACCUUUACUAUAGCUUGACACUGAACAUUGAGCCUUGAUGUGUAGGAUAGGUGGGAGGCUUUGAAGCGUGGACGCCAGUCUGCGUGGAGCCAACCUUGAAAUACCACCCUUUAAUGUUUGAUGUUCUAACGUUGGCCCCUUACCGGGGUUGCGGACAGUGUCUGGUGGGUAGUUUGACUGGGGCGGUCUCCUCCCAAAGCGUAACGGAGGAGCACGAAGGUUAGCUAAUCCUGGUCGGACAUCAGGAGGUUAGUGCAAUGGCAUAAGCUAGCUUGACUGCGAGCGUGACGGCGCGAGCAGGUGCGAAAGCAGGUCAUAGUGAUCCGGUGGUUCUGAAUGGAAGGGCCAUCGCUCAACGGAUAAAAGGUACUCCGGGGAUAACAGGCUGAUACCGCCCAAGAGUUCAUAUCGACGGCGGUGUUUGGCACCUCGAUGUCGGCUCAUCACAUCCUGGGGCUGAAGUAGGUCCCAAGGGUAUGGCUGUUCGCCAUUUAAAGUGGUACGCGAGCUGGGUUUAGAACGUCGUGAGACAGUUCGGUCCCUAUCUGCCGUGGGCGCUGGAGAAUUGAGGGGGGCUGCUCCUAGUACGAGAGGACCGGAGUGGACGCAUCACUGGUGUUCGGGUUGUCAUGCCAAUGGCACUGCCCGGUAGCUAAAUGCGGAAGAGAUAAGUGCUGAAAGCAUCUAAGCACGAAACUUGCCCCGAGAUGAGUUCUCCCUGAGACUUUAAGUCUCCUGAAGGAACGUU
rnacentral:rRNA from 1 species